CGGAGAGGUGCCAGAGUGGCCGAUUGGGUCGGUCUCGAAAACCGAUGACCCGCUUGCGGGUCCGUGGGUUCGAAUCCCACCCUCUCCGU
rnacentral:tRNA from 1 species